GCUUGUCUCAAAGAUUAAGCCAUGCAUGUCUCAGUAUAAGCUUCUAUACGGCGAAACUGCGAAUGGCUCAUUAAAACAGUUAUAGUUUAUUUGGUGGUCAACUCUUACAUGGAUAACCGUGGUAAUUCUAGAGCUAAUACAUGCGCAAAGUCCUGACUCGCGAGGGGAGGGAUGUAUUUAUUAGAUACAAAACCAAUGCGGGUUCUGCUCGCCAUUGUGUUGAAUCAUAGUAACUUAUCGAACGCCAUAGCCUUGUGCUGGGCGUAGAUCAUUCAAAUUUCUGCCCUAUCAGCUUUCGACGGUAGUGUAGUGGACUACCGUGGCGUUAACGGGUAACGGGGAAUUAGGGUUCGAUUCCGGAGAGGGAGCCUGAGAAACGGCUACCACAUCCAAGGAAGGCAGCAGG
rnacentral:rRNA from 1 species